AACGUAGGGCGCGAGCGUUGUCCGGAUUUAUUGGGCGUAAAGAGCGUGUAGGCGGCCAUAGCAGGUCAGCUGUGAAAACUCGAGGCUCAACCUCGAGACGUCGGUUGAAACCGUAUGGCUAGAGUCCGGAAGAGGAGAGUGGAAUUCCCGGUGUAGCGGUGAAAUGCGCAGAUAUCGGGAAGAACACCCGUGGCGAAGGCGGCUCUCUGGGACGGUACUGACGCUGA
rnacentral:rRNA from 1 species